AUUGAAUAAUAAAAUAUUGGUUUAAUCUAAGUUUUGAUUAAUUAAAAGGGAAUCAGGUUAGAGUCCUGAACGGUCCCGCCACUGUAAGAGAUGAAUUUAAGUACGAUGUACCACUGGGAAACUGGGAAGGUGUGCAUAAAUGAUGAAUCUCAAGUCAGGAGACCUGCCAUAUUUUUUCACCAUUG
rnacentral:ncRNA from 2 species